GCCUGGCUGGCUCAACUGGUAGAGCAUGCAGCUCUUGAUCUCAAGGUUGUGAGUUCAAGCCCCAUGUUGGGUG
rfam:Felis catus isolate Cinnamon breed Abyssinian chromosome A2, whole genome shotgun sequence.